rnacentral:rRNA from 1 species
UCCGCGGUUAGACUCAGGGCUAAAACUAUAGCACUAGGUUGGAGUAAGUAAUCAUCUUAACACCUACUACUUAGCGGUAAAAUGCUUAAGUUGAAGGUUAAUUACCCGAGGCUCUUUACUUACGGCUAUAAACGAGGAUUAGAUACCCUUCUAUACGUAAGGACUAAAACCUAAGGAGUAGCAGCUAUAUUCUGGAAAAUUAAGGGAUAUGGCGGCGCUAGACAUUUUCAGGGGAACCCGCUCCGUAAUCGUCACAACGCGCUUUACCUUACCUCCCUAUGGCUCGUAUACCGUCAUCUAAGCACUUUAAAAACAAAGCGCUAAAUAGGGACACCUAAACGUUAGAUCCAGGUGCGGCUUGGGGGGGGAGAAAGCGGGUUACAAUUUACUAACUAACGGACUUCUCCCGCAGUGGGAAAAGAUAAGCUGGAUUUGAGAGUAAUCGAAUUUUAAUAUACUUCGAUGAAUUUUUCUCUAGCGUGUACAUAUCGUCCGUCGCCCU